AUGUAAAUGAGCUAAAUACCUAAUAAAAAAUGGAAAAAAAAUAAAAAAAAAAAAAGAAAUCCACCUGCCUGUGACUCCCCAACACUGGGAUUACAGCUAGGAACCUUCAAACCUGGGAUUUAUGUGGGUUUGGGGGCCUUGAACUUAUGUCCCCAUGCUUGUGUGGCUGACAUUUUUACACACUGAAGCAUGUCAUCACCUUGUAUCUUAUAGUUACUGAUGAAGGAAUGGUACCAUUCCCUGAGACUGAAAGAAAAUACAAAUGCUUUCUUUUUCCCUUUAAUUUACUUAUUUAUUCACUCCACAUUCCAAUAUCAGUACCCUCUCUCCUCCAAGUACCCCACUCCCCUCUUUCCAGAAGAGGGAGAACCCCACUCCAUACCACUUCACCCUCGCGCAUCAAGUCAUUUCAGAAUAAGGCAUAACCACACCCACUGAGGGCAGACAAGGCAGCUCAGCCAGGGGAAUGGAAUCCACAGUGGGCAACAUAUUCAGGGACAGCUCCUCCCCUACUCCAGUUAUUGGAGGAGCUGCAUGAUACACAUAUGCUACAGAUAUGCAUGGGUUGAGGGAUAGGUUCAGGCCAAGCUCACUCUUUGGUUGGUAGUUCAGUCUCUGAGAAUCUCCAGUUGUCCAGGUUAGUUGACUCUGUUGGAACAAAUGCUUUCUUUAUUCCUUAUUUAUUUAUUCAUUCAUUCAUUCAUUCAUUCAUUCAUUCAUUCAAUAUAUAUCCUGUCAGCCUCCCAGUCCCACCCUCACAAAUCCUUCCCACUAUUAUCCCCAUACCCUUCUUAGGGAGAGAUGAAGAGUAGAGUUGGAACACCAAGUAGAUCUUUAGUUAGCAAUUUUCCACUUAGAUUCAGAAAUUUUCAAGUCAGAGGAGAGAAGGAUAGGUGUUUUCAUGAAGGCCUCAAGACACCCUCCUUUAUCAGCUUAUAACAGAGUCUCUUUGUCUCUUUCAUGCUGUAACUGCUUUCUGUAAAUGCAUUAUUACAAUUCUUCCCUAUAUUAUUAUGUAUAAAAAUACAAUCUGAUAAUAAGUCCAUCUCUCUUGAACAGGUGUUGAUUGGAAUUAAAUGCAAUGUAAGCGUAGGCUACCGUAUGCUUGUUUUCCCACAAGACUCUUAAUGAGUGUGUCUAUUAGUUUAACAUAGCAAAUUUUUGAAUACCAAGAGAUGUUUGAUUAUGCCAUAUUAUGAUUUUGAAGGAUGCCUGAAGGUACUGUUUGGUUGAUUUAAAAGAGUUCCUUGACUAAUUUUCCAAACACAAAAUUAUUUGAAGUUAUUCUGAAUUGCUUUUUGAAUAAAUUCUCUUUUGAAGAUGGGAAAACAUGGAGUUAGGUUGAAUUGAGCCUAGUGAAUUCUGCUAUGAAAUAUAAUUCUAAAACAUAAUUGUGAAAUAGGCUGUUCUCUCUCCUCAGUCUCCUAAGUAGUCUCAGGGUAAAGAGCUGAGGUGUAAUGUUAAGCCAGUUUUCAGUAGAGGAAAAUUAAAACUUAUUGCUGUGUAUUAGCAUGCUAAUAUACAGUGAAAGAAGAGAAGGUAUUGAGUUCGCUUUAAUAGAAAAGCAAGAGUUUCUCUUGUAUUGGCAACAACAACAACAAAACAGUAUACCCAGACACUUGUAAACUACCUGGAUUCUAGCCCAAAGUUUGUGAGACAAUUGACUUGGGCUUUGUCUUGGGUAUCAGGAUU
rnacentral:lncRNA from 1 species